rnacentral:lncRNA from 1 species
UAUAAUCUUGUGCGAGCCGCCCAACUUUUCUUUCUUUUCAUUACAAAAUUCGCAGGGCUUUAUUGACACAAAUCAGUCAUCUUGUAAAAUUCGUAGAAAAUUCAAUUCUAAUCAGAAUUCGAUGAUUCUUGAUGUUUCGGAAAGCUCUUUCAAUUGUCUACAACUUUCGUUUAUAAUGUUUUCUCAGAUUCUGUUUCGAACUGUCUUCAAAUUCACAAAACAUAUUCAGAUCCUGUUUUUCGCUUUGAAUCUGAGUCAGCAGACGUUUUAUUUAAUUCCCGAUUCGUUAUAACUCCGUUAUUGAUGAGCCAUACCUUUUCAGAAAGGUCUUUUCGUCCUCUACAACUUUCGUGUUUUGAGUUUUUCCAGAAAAUGUCGUUUAGAGGGUCAAAACAGUGGAUUAUUGGUCUGGGCAGAUUGGAUUCAUGGAGGGUUUUGGAGUUUUAAGAGGAUGUAAUUUUGAUUAGUUGCUAAGGAUUGAUUAUAUGAUCUAGGAUGGUGUUGAGUAUUUGAUUUCGGUGUUGAGGUAAGUUUCUGAUUGAUCUUUCUAGUGUUUUAAAAAUUAUGUGUUAUAUGUUUAUAUUUGAUUAUAUAAAUUUGGGUCUAUGUGUUAUAUGUUUAUAUUUGAUUGUAUAAAUUUGGGCUAAGUGAUAAUAUUUUGAAUUGAUUUUCGUUCUCGUAUAUGUGCGGUGUUGACGAUGAUUUCGGAACUCUUAUUUAUGCCAUGGUUUGUGAAAAUAAGAAUAAGAAUAAGGACCGAGUCACCGGGUUAUAGUGACAGUUUUCAGAAAAUUCAGGACCGUUAUCACCGGGUUGUAGUGGUCGUGGUAUAAAUUAUGAGUUCUGAGCUAUUGUUCACCAUGUGAUUGUGGCAUUGAAUAAGAAUAUGAAAGUGUUUUGGAAGUAUUUGUUUCGUAUAUUGUUAUCGUAUAAAAAAAAGUAUAUUUUAUCUUAUGUGUAUACUUGUUACUUGGCCCGACUAGUUGGAUCGAUUAGUUGUUUGCUGGGCUGUAUAGCUCAUUACUUACAAUUUUCAGGUUUGAUUUAAGAGCAAGUUGAUGUGCAUUGGAUUUGGAGUUCGGUGAUGUUAGAUUUGGAUUGACUUUUGGACUUCCGUUAGCUGCGCCUUUGUAAUAGUUACCUUUGUAAUCGGAUUUUGGAUUAAUAAAUUGUGUUGUAUUUUAGUUUUGGAGUUAGUUUUAAUAUUCCGAAAAGUCGGGAUGUUACAUUAAUACUAUCAUAAAACGUAGUUUGAUAAAUUGUUUUGAAUUUUUUUUUCUGAUUAAAAAUUUGAAGUUUAUAUUUUUAUAAAAAAGAAAAUGUUUAAAAAAUAAAUUUUACAACUAUAUUUUAUAUACGCCUUAAAAUACGUGCCGAGCAGUGUAUAAAAACCGCAAAGAAACGAGAGAGAGGGAGUAAUCAAAUAAAGGGAGUACAAUCAAGAUUACAAUUUAAAACCCAUUUCAGUAUACGCCUUAAAAUACGUGCCGAGCAGUGUAUAAAAACUGCAAAGAAACGAGAGAGAGGGAGUAAUCAAAUAAAGGGAGUACAAUCAAGAUUACAAUUUAAAACCCAUUUCAGUGAACGAAAAUCAAAGAGCUAGUAAGAUGCAAUUAUUCUGACUGAGGUAGAAGAUGGGGAAGGUGA